UAGCUUAGUGGUUAAGAGCUAUGGCUGCUAACCAAAAGGUCGGUGGUUUGAAUCCACC
rnacentral:tRNA from 1 species